rnacentral:tRNA from 1 species
GUCGGUGUAGUUUAAUGGGCAGAACAACUGAUUCGUAAUCAGUAAAUUGCAGUUCGAAUCUGCACACCGGCA